UAACUUUUUAAAAUGUGGCUACUAGAAAAUGUAACCUAUGUAGCUCACAUUCGUGACCUGUAUUAUAUUUCUUUUCACACUGAUCUGUAAGGCACAUAUAAAAUGGAGGGUGGGUAGGAGAAAAAAACUGACCAUUUUUCCUCCAGGUCUGAACAGGGCAGUGGGUGUUCAGAACCACAAAUCAUCAUUUCUUAUUUCUGUGUCAUUUGUAUUUAUAUUGUGAAGAUAACUCAGUAAUAUGAGCCAUAAAAAUUAUAUAGCAAACAUCUUUUAUAUCCAUGUUCACAAAGCAGUUUUUCAAUCCUAGAAAUUAGACUUUCCAUCACGGGAGCAUGAAUUGAUUGGUAAAAACUAGAACAUAUACUAAUACGUACCAACAAUAGCCACUCCCACUUCUCCUACCUUCACUAGGUCAGACAUAGUUAAUCAGGACAUUUUUUAUUUUUAUUUUUUUAAUUUUGUGAGUAUAUAGAAGGUGUAUAUAUUUAUGGAGUAUAUGAGAUGCUUUGGUACUGGCAUGCAAUGUGUAAUAAUCACAUGGUAAAUGGGUUAUCCAUAAUCAGGCCUUUUUUUCUACAGAUCUCAGACACAGCAUCAAUGUCCUUAUCAUCUCUGCUCUAAGAAGCUAUGUAGCUAUUGAGGGAUGCAGUCAUGAUACAAAACUAGGUCUGUUUGACUCCAGAGACUGCAUUUCUUUCCUACACCAUGCAGAUUUCCACUUAAUAACAGGUGCACAUUUAUAGUUUUAUUUCUAAUUCAGAUAAAUAAACUGAC
rnacentral:lncRNA from 10 species